UGGUGGGUAGUUUGACUGGGGCGGUCUCCUCCUAAAGAGUAACGGAGGAGCACGAAGGUUGGCUAAUCCUGGUCGGACAUCAGGAGGUUAGUGCAAUGGCAUAAGCCAGCUUGACUGCGAGCGUGACGGCGCGAGCAGGUGCGAAAGCAGGUCAUAGUGAUCCGGUGGUUCUGAAUGGAAGGGCCAUCGCUCAACGGAUAAAAGGUACUCCGGGGAUAACAGGCUGAUACCGCCCAAGAGUUCAUAUCGACGGCGGUGUUUGGCACCUCGAUGUCGGCUCAUCACAUCCUGGGGCUGAAGUAGGUCCCAAGGGUAUGGCUGUUCGCCAUUUAAAGUGGUACGCGAGCUGGGUUUAGAACGUCGUGAGACAGUUCGGUCCCUAUCUGCCGUGGGCGCUGGAGAACUGAGGGGGGCUGCUCCUAGUACGAGAGGACCGGAGUGGACGCAUCACUGGUGUUCGGGUUGUCAUGCCAAUGGCACUGCCCGGUAGCUAAAUGCGGAAGAGAUAAGUGCUGAAAGCAUCUAAGCACGAAACUUGCCCCGAGAUGAGUUCUCCCUGAGACUUUAGGUCUCCUGAAGGAACGUUGAAGACGACGACGUUGAUAGGCCGGGUGUGUAAGCGCAGCGAUGCGUUGAGCUAACCGGUACUAAUGAACCGUGAGGCUUAACCUUACA
rnacentral:rRNA from 21 species